CACGUAGGGGGCGAGCGUUGUCCGGAUUUAUUGGGCGUAAAGAGCUCGUAGGUGGCUCGGUAAGUCGGGUGUGAAAUUUCGAGGCUCAACCUCGAAACGCCACCUGAUACUGCUGUGGCUAGAGUCCGGUAGGGGAGCGUGGAAUUCCUGGUGUGAGCGGUGGAAAUGCGCAGAGUAUCAGGAGGAACACCAGCGGCGAAGGCGGCGCUCUGGGCCGGUACUGACACUGAGGAGCGAAAGCGUGGGGAUCAAACAGG
rnacentral:rRNA from 1 species